UCAUCAAAUGACUGAAAGUAAGUAAUGAUCUCUUAAAUCAUAUUAUAGUAAUUAACGACUACUUUUGAUGAA
rnacentral:tRNA from 1 species